UGGUGGAGUGAUCUGUCUGGUUAAUUCCGAUAACGAACGAGACCUUAACCUGCUAAAUAGUCAAUCAAACUUUGGUUUGAAAUGACUUCUUAGAGGGACUAUUGAUGUUUAAUCAAUGGAAGUUUGAGGCAAUAACA
rnacentral:rRNA from 1 species